rnacentral:lncRNA from 1 species
CAGCUCGGUGCACUAAGUCCCGCUAUGCGCGGGCCCAGGGAAGAGCACCACAAGCAUCUAUCAUAUGCGAGCUUACCCUACAUUUCUGUAAGAGGCUGUUUUCACGGCUCGAACUCAUGAUCCUCUGGUCACAUGACAACAACUUUACCAGUAACGCCAAGGCUUCCCUUCACUGUACAUAUAUACUCAUCUUCAAUUUAUGCCAGACUCCUCAACCGUUUUCCCCCUGUUUUGUCAAAGACAAUAACAUAAGGGUUGCCAAGAUCUUGGAAGAAGUGCCCGACUAUUACUUAAAAAAGAGAAAAAUUUAGAAUUUCUAAAAUUUUUUAGACAAGUACAAAUUUUCAAGAUGAAUUUAUGAUACUACAUAUCAGUAAGCAAUAUUCAAAUUGUAUUGUUUAAUAGCAAGGAAUUAUGGGUUAGUAACUUGAUAAUGUCAGUGAGGACAAAACUUCAACACUUUGCCGUUUCAGAUCCAUGGCCGCAUAUGAACAACUUUGUGAGUGAUUUCCUUUGGGGUAGAAGACGAGACAAUCAGAAGAGCGAGAAAGAGAAAAUUUU